AUGCCCCUGUGCUUGGACUCAGACGGCGGCUUGGAUGCCUGUGGACAGAGCUCUGUGGGUCCCAGUGACGUCACCCUCAGCCGCUCGGCUCAAGAGGCUGCCCCUCUGUUUGUUUUUACUAGAAGUCGGCCUCUGAAGCUGCGGUUUACAAACAGUCUUCCUGAGCACGGAGCACUGUUUAUCAAGCAGAACCUGACAGCUACGCGGCUCCGGGCAGGAAACCGAAGCAGAGCUGUGCUGACAGACCCCAGCGCUCCGCACCAGCACCCCAGGGAGCCCCUCCACUGCACUGCCUUGGCGCCGGGAAGAGAACACCCCUGGGGACGGCUCUUGGGCUUCCUGUCUGGCCUGGACUCCAGAGCCCCAGGGCCCUGCUCCGCUGGUCAGCUCACAGCUUCACCAGCGCCGAGAGGGCCGGAGGCCCACACACCGUGCUUUGCCACCUGCACACCAAGCUCCAGAGACCCCAGCCAGUGCCCCAGGGCCUCUGCGUCCGCACAGCCGCCAGGGCCCGACACUCGCGCAAGGAGCCAGGCCACCAAACCAGCAGAAACCAAUGAUGUGCACAGAAUUCUAGAGAAAAGGCCACCCCCACGGUGGUGGGCACAUGGCUGCGUGCUCGGAGGUGCCAGCACAGCUGCCUUGCACAUGGCAUCUCCCAAAGAGAGCAAAGACUGGGGCAGGGGGAGGUGUACCCCGCAGGCCAGCAGCCUCUCCCCUGCAGCUCCAGACACAGAUGUCGCUGUGGGAACGCGGGGGCAGUGGGGAUGUGUUCGGGGUGGUCCGGGGAGCCCAGCCAGGAGGGAGGGGCUGGAGUCAGCCCACAGAAAGGCCUGCGAGACUGCAGCAGCGUGCGUCCCCCAGGCAGGGCCUGGAAGAGUCCCAGGCCGCCUUCCGGAAACACGGCUCCCCGGAGGGUCCCCAGAGAACCAUCUGGCUGCAGCGGGAAGACGCCUCCUGGCCAGCUCCAACUCCCAAGGUUCCCGGAUGCUGCUCCCUCCACCGGAGGAGGCCGUCCUGCCCUGA
rnacentral:lncRNA from 1 species